rnacentral:rRNA from 1 species
UACGUAGGGUGCGAGCGUUGUCCGGAAUUAUUGGGCGUAAAGAGCUCGUAGGCGGCUUGUCGCGUCGGAUGUGAAAGCCCGGGGCUUAACUCCGGGUUUGCAUUCGAUACGGGCAGGCUAGAGUUCGGUAGGGGAGAUCGGAAUUCCUGGUGUAGCGGUGAAAUGCGCAGAUAUCAGGAGGAACACCGGUGGCGAAGGCGGAUCUCUGGGCCGAUACUGACGCUGAGGAGCGAAAGCGUGGGGAGCGAACAGG